rnacentral:rRNA from 1 species
UACGGAGGGAGCUAGCGUUAUUCGGAAUUACUGGGCGUAAAGCGCACGUAGGCGGUCUUGAUAAGUAAGAGGUGAAAGCCUGGAGCUCAACUCCAGAACUGCCUUUUUUAGACUGUCUCGCUUGAAGUCCAGGAGAGGUGAGUGGAAUUCCGAGUGUAGAGGUGAAAUUCGCAGAUAUCGGGAGGAACACCAAUGGCGAAGGCGGCUUACUGGUCCGGUUCUGACGCUGGAGGCGACGAAGCGUGGGAGCAA